GAUGAACGCUGGCGGCGUGCCUAAUACAUGCAAGUCGAGCGAACAGACGAGGAGCUUGCUCCUUUGACGUUAGCGGCGGACGGGUGAGUAACACGUGGGUAACCUACCUCUAAGACUGGGAUAACUUCGGGAAACCGGAGCUGCUACUGCAUAAUAUUUCGAACCGCAUGGUUCGAUAGUGAAUGAUGGCUUUGCUAUCACUUAUAGAUGGACCCGCGCCGUAUUAGCUAGUUGGUAAGGUAACGGCUUACCAAGGCAACGAUACGUAGCCGACCUGAGAGGGUGAUCGGCCACACUGGAACUGAGACACGGUCCAGACUCCUACGGGAGGCAGCAGUAGGGAAUCUUCCGCAAUGGGCGAAAGCCUGACGGAGCAACGCCGCGUGAGUGAUGAAGGUCUUCGGAUCGUAAAGCUCUGUUAUUAGGAAAGAACAAAAGUGUAAGUAACUGUGCACGUCUUGACGGUACCUAAUCAGAAAGCCACGGCUAACUACGUG
rnacentral:rRNA from 1 species